ACCGCAAAAGGGUCGUCGACAAUGGAGAAGAAGGUUACAGAGGAGGAGGAGGUUCCUUUCGGAGAUGGGCGAUUACGUGCGGAUUUGGAUUGAAGUGGGAAUGGAAUUAUCCUUAUGGCUAAGAGAGCACCAGCAUCUCUGCAGAUGAACAGGAGAAGGAUUAGGAGACGAAGACGAUUUGCUUCAGCAGCUCUAGUCGUUUUCUCUCUCUUUCCCUUAUUUGGUGGGGAUUUCCGGGAAGGGAAUAUAAAUAAAAUAUGGAUGAAAGAGAAGGCUUCAACGGGAAGUCACGAUAAAGUUUCGAAGUAUACUUCUGCGGGCACAGCUCAUCUCUCUCUCUCUCUCUCUCUCUCUCUCUGUUGAUGAUCCAAGAUGUGGGAAGAGCUCGGGGGAAAGACAAGCCAACGCUGCCCUUUUUCCCCUCUUGAUAAUUUUCCUCCUCUUUUUCAGGAUGGACAGGUUGAUUAUUGAAUUUACCAUAAUUUCUUCUUUGCUCUC